rnacentral:tRNA from 1 species
AAAGAUUUAGUUAAGACAUAACGUUAGCGUGUCAAGCUAAAAUCAUUAAUAACAAUAAUAAUCUUUA